AUCCCCACUAAAAAAAACCCGAAUUUUUUCAAAUCAAAUCCAAAUCCUUUAUAAAGAUUUGUUUCGGAUUUUUUUCCUCUUUAGAAUUUUUUUCGUGUACCCCCCAGCCACUGUUUAGUAUUUACCUUUCUUGUCGUCUGCAGACUCUGCACUUGAUCCUCUUACCUCCAUCGUGUUUUCAUGACUUGCGUCAAGUGGUCCAGAUUCUCCUGACAAUGAUUGUCCUUCUGACUUGCGCUUUAGUCCCUUGGGUUAUUGGAAAGUAAACGCCCAUCGAUUACCGUUGUUGGCUUUGAUAGCAAGGGAGCUCUUCGGGGUGCCCACUUCGGGAGGAGAGAUCGAACGGGUCUUUAGCACCGCCACGGACAUUGCAUCGGCUAAAAGAAAUCGCAUUAAGCCUCCUCUCUUCGCGAAAAUGCUUUUCAUAAAGCGAAAUAUGAAACUUAUGAGUCCUGUGACUCCUGUCAAACACAAAUGAUGAAUUGUGGCUAACUCUUUUUUUUUUGCUCUUUUCACCAUUGUCAGUCAGAAUACUCAGAAAUAAAAAGAUUUAAUCCAA